AGUAACACGUAGGUUAUNUCGCCCGGGGUGAGGGACAACUGAGGGAAACUUCAGCUAAUACCACAUAUGGCCUACGGGUCAAAGGCUUCGGCCCGCCCGUGGGAUGAGCCUGCGUCCCAUUAUUUAAUCCUAGUUGGUGGGGUAAUGGCCUACCAAGGGUACGAUGGGUAGCUGGUUUGAGAGAAUGAUCAGCCACACUGGAACUGAGACACGGUCCAGACUCCUACGGGAGGCAGCAGUGGGGAAUAUUGCGCAAUGGGCGAAAGCCUGACGCAGCCACGCCGCGUGAGUGAUGAAGGCCCGAGGGUCGUAAAGCUCUGUCGGGAGGGAAGAACAAAAUGACGGUACCUCCCAAGAAAGCACCGGCUAACUCCGUG
rnacentral:rRNA from 1 species